CUUAGCUUGCUAAGGCCGAUGGCGACCGGCGCACGGUGUGAGUAACACGUAUGCAACCUGCCGUCUACUCUUGGACAGCCUUCUGAAAGGAAGAUUAAUACAAGAUGGCAUCAUGAGUCCGCAUGUUCACAUGAUUAAAGGUAUUCCGGUAGACGAUGGGGAUGCGUUCCAUUAGAUAGUAGGCGGGGUAACGGCCCACCUAGUCUUCGAUGGAUAGGGGUUCUGAGAGGAAGGUCCCCCACAUUGGAACUGAGACACGGUCCAAACUCAUACGGGAGGCAGCAGUGAGGAAUAUUGGUCAAUGGGCGAGAGCCUGAACCAGCCAAGUAGCGUGAAGGAUGACUGCCCUAUGGGUUGUAAACUUCUUUUAUAAAGGAAUAAAGUCGGGUAUGCAUACCCGUUUGCAUGUACUUUAUGAAUAAGGAUCGGCUAACUCCGUGCCAGCAGCCGCGGUAAUACGGAGGAUCCGAGCGUUAUCCGGAUUUAUUGGGUUUAAAGGGAGCGUAGAUGGAUGUUUAAGUCAGUUGUGAAAGUUUGCGGCUCAACCGUAAAAUUGCAGUUGAUACUGGAUAUCUUGAGUGCAGUUGAGGCAGGCGGAAUUCGUGGUGUAGCGGUGAAAUGCUUAGAUAUCACGAAGAACUCCGAUUGCGAAGGCAGCCUGCUAAGCUGCAACUGACAUUGAGGCUCGAAAGUGUGGGUAUCAAACAGGAUUAGAUACCCUGGUAGUCCACACGGUAAACGAUGAAUACUCGCUGUUUGCGAUAUACGGCAAGCGGCCAAGCGAAAGCGUUAAGUAUUCCACCUGGGGAGUACGCCG
rnacentral:rRNA from 1 species